UGUAUUGGACUGGCCAAAACGUUUGUUUGGGUUUUUCUGUAAGAUGUUAUGGAAAAACCUGAACAAACUUUUUGGCCAACCCAGUAGAAGGA
rnacentral:miRNA from 1 species